GACGAACGCUGGCGGCGUGCUUAACACAUGCAAGUCGAACGGAAAGGCCCUGCUUUUGUGGGGUGCUCGAGUGGCGAACGGGUGAGUAACACGUGAGUAACCUGCCCUUGACUUUGGGAUAACUUCAGGAAACUGGGGCUAAUACCGGAUAGGAGCUCCUGCUGCAUGGUGGGGGUUGGAAAGUUUCGGCGGUUGGGGAUGGACUCGCGGCUUAUCAGCUUGUUGGUGGGGUAGUGGCUUACCAAGGCUUUGACGGGUAGCCGGCCUGAGAGGGUGACCGGCACAAUGGGGCAGAGGAGUGGGCCCAGAAUCGUAGGGGAGGGAGAGGGGGGGAAUUUGGAACAAGGGGGGGAAGCCGGAGGCAGAAAGCCCCGGGGGGGGAUGACGGCCUUGGGGUUGUAAACCGUUUUCGCCUGGGCCGAAGGGGGAGGGGCGGUAAUGGGAAAAGAAGAAGCGGCGAACUACGU
rnacentral:rRNA from 1 species